rnacentral:rRNA from 1 species
GACGAACGCUGGCGGCGUGCCUAAUACAUGCAAGUAGAACGCACAGUUUAUACCGUAGCUUGCUACACCAUAGACUGUGAGGUGCGAACGGGUGAGUAACGCGUAGGUAACCUGCCUGGUAGCGGGUGAUAACUACUGGAAACGAUAGCUAAUAUCGCCUAAUAUUAAUUAUUGCAUGAUAAUUAAUUGAAAGGUUCAAUUGCACCACUACCAGAUGGACUUGCGUUGUAGUAGCUAGUAGGUGAGGUAACGGCUCACCUAGUCGACGAUACAUAGCCGACCUGAGAGGGUGAACGGCCACACUGGGACUGAGACACGGCCCAAACUCCUAAGGGAGGCAGCAGUAAGGAAUCUUCGGCAAUGGACGAAAGUCUGGACGAACAACGCCGCGUGAGUGAAGAAGGUUUUCGGAUCGUUAAGCUCUGUUGUUAGAGAAGAACGGGUGUGAGAGUGGAAAGUUCACACUGUGACGGUAUCUUACCAGAAAGGGACGGCUAACUACGUG